AGAUUGACGUGCACCUCCACGAUGCCCUGGGCCGGCCACAUCAGUGUGGGACAAUUCAGCUUGACUUCCAACUGCCCCUGAGAUUUGACCUCCAGUAUAAGGGGCCACUGUGGCUGUCCCCGUUCCAGGUGGUGGUCAUCCCUGUGGGGAGUGAGCAAGAGGAAUACGCCAAAGAGGCACAGCAGAGCCUGCGGGCUGCCGGACUGGUCAGUGACCUGGAUGCAGACUCUGGACUGACCCUCAGCCGGAGAAUCCGCCGGGCCCAGCUUGCCCACUACAAUUUUCAGUUUGUGGUUGGCCAGAAAGAGCAA
rnacentral:sRNA from 1 species